GUAAGGAAUAUUGGGCAAUGGACGAAAGUCUGACCCAGCCAUGCCGCGUGAAGGAUUAAGGUCCUCUGGAUUGUAAACUUCUUUUCUCUGGGGCGAAAACCAGCUAUUCUUAGCUAUUUGACAGUACCAGAGGAAUAAGCACCGGCUAACUCCGUGCCAGCAGCCGCGGUAAUACGGAGGGUGCAAGCGUUAUCCGGAUUCACUGGGUUUAAAGGGUGCGUAGGUGGGCUAGUAAGUCAGUGGUGAAAUCCCCGAGCUUAACUUGGGAACUGCCGUUGAUACUAUUAGUCUUGAAUAUCGUGGAGGUAAGCGGAAUAUGUCAUGUAGCGGUGAAAUGCUUAGAUAUGACAUAGAACACCAAUUGCGAAGGCAGCUUGCUACACGGUCAUUGACACUGAGGCACGAAAGCGUGGGGAGCAAACAGG
rnacentral:rRNA from 1 species